rnacentral:rRNA from 1 species
UACGUAGGGCGCAAGCGUUGUCCGGAAUUAUUGGGCGUAAAGAGCUCGUAGGUGGCUUGUCACGUCGGGUGUGAAAGCUUGGGGCUUAACUCCAGGUCUGCAUUCGAUACGGGCUGGCUAGAGGUAGGUAGGGGAGAACGGAAUUCCUGGUGUAGCGGUGAAAUGCACAGAUAUCAGGAGGAACACCGGUGGCGAAGGCGGUUCUCUGGGCCUUACCUGACGCUGAGGAGCGAAAGCGUGGGGAGCGAACAGG